rnacentral:antisense_RNA from 1 species
GUCUCGGCAGCGGUGGCCGUAGCUCCAUCGCAUUUUAUGUUUCUGGCGAGAAGGGAACGGAGUUUUCAUCAGGUAGAUUGGUUUUUGUGCAGCCGUCCUCCACCGUUUCCUCCAGGACAGCACCUAGUCGUGGCCGGAAGAGUCUCAGAGCUGUCAGAAAGAAUAAGACUGAUUUUAUGGGAAAAUUAAGCAAAUGCUCCAGUUUGAAAAACCUGGAUCUGCGAUCUGUUUGUGGUACCAGCAUCAAGAUGAUUUAUGGUAAUAAGGUACUCAGUCUUUGCUUAAAAUAAAUUUUACAUUUAUCAAAGUAAAAUUUACCAGUUUUUUUUCCUAAAGAGGCUAGUCAUAUCUCAUCAGUGGUUACAAAGUAUCCUUACAAUUGAACCUACACUUGUUAAUCCUGUUUAGUGUGUAUGAAAAUCACUUGGUGGCCGGGCAUGGUGGCUAAUGCCUGUAAUCCCAGCACUUUGGGAGGCUGAGGCGGGCAGAUCACAAGGUCAGGAGUUCGAGACCAGCCUGGCUAAUAUAGUGAAACCCCAUUUCUACUAAAAAUGCAAACAUUAGUCAGGCGUGGUGGCAGGUGCCUGUAGUCCCAGCUACUUGG